AAUGGUACAGUCAUUUUUGAAGACAGUUUGGCAGUUUCUUACAAAACUAAACACACUUUUACCACACGAUCCAACAAUUGUGCUCCUUGCUAUUUACCAAAAGGAGCUCAUGUCUACAAGAAAA